GUGUUUGUGUCAGCAGCACAUAUACUAAAAUUGGAAUGAUACAGAGAAGAUUAGCAUGGCCCCUGUGUAAGGAUGACAUGGAAAUUCAUGAAGCAUUCCACAUUAAA